AUGAUGAUAAAAUUGGGAUUUGAUAUUUCUUGGGUGGAGAUGGUUAUGGCAUGUGUUACCUCGGUUAACUACAGGGUUUGGUUCAAUUCGGAUGAGACAAAAAGUUUUACCCCUACGAGGGGGCUCAGGCAAGGGGAUCCCCUAUCCCCAUACCUUUUCUUAAUUUGUGCUGAAGGGUUAUCCAGUCUACUAGCGCAUGAAGAGGCGGUCGGUGGUAUCCAAGGAAUUAGGGUGUGCCGUAGUGCACCAUCAGUUUCACACUUGCUUUUUGCUAAUGAUUCUCUAAUCCUGAUGAAGGCGGAUACAUUGAAUGCCACGUCCCUCAAAAGUGCUCUAGAUAUGUACUGUGCUAGCUCAGGACAACUUGUAAGUGAUGCAAAAUCUAGUGUUUUUUCAGUCCGAACACUCCAGUGGAGGUACGAGCAGAUAUUUGCACACAACUUAAUAUUGUUUCAGAGGCUAUUUCUGACAAGUAUUUGGGACUACCGUCGAAGAUUGGUAUCGACUGUAGUGACUGUUUCCAACAUUUGGUUGAUAAGGUGUGUGCGCUGA
rnacentral:rRNA from 1 species